UGGAAUAUUACUCAGCUUUAAAGAAGAGUGAAAUUAUGGCAUUUGCUAGUAAAUGCAUGGAGAAAUAAGCCAAUCCCACAAAACCAAAGGCCAAAUGUUUUCUCUAAUAUGCAGAUGCUAAUUCACAAUAAGGCAGGGUGUGGUGAGCCGUGUUUGUAGACCGUUGCCGCCAUUAGAAGAUGGCGCCGGUCUCCGUUGUGGAUCUUGGUAAACAACUCCUUAUUAGGGAAAGUUGGCGCGCUGUCCCUCAACACCCUAUGAGAAAACCCCGCGUGGCAGCUUUGGAUUGGACUUGAGUAAGCUUUAUUAGGCUAUGCUUGGGCGCUCGGCGGGGGGUCACUAGAAGAUGAUACAUGAAACAAGGCCUGAAUAAACUGCUGAAAGAAGAAUCCUGUGUCGUGUUUUCCCUUGCUGGCGAGGGGUCGCGACAAUUGGUGGCCCGGACGGGGAAUUAUAUUCCUCGAACCCAGGAUCCAGAACUUUCAGCAGUCAGGGUGGUGCACCGGUAAGUUCCCAGGUAAAGUGGGAAUCCGCAAUCAAAUAGCGGGGCACUCUCUCUGUAAAUAGAGAGAGAGCGCGGGAAAAAGGACGCUCCCCUGUAAAAGGAAGAGAGCGGGGAAUUCAUAGAACGGAACGCUCCCCUGUAAAAGGAAGAGAGCGGGGAUUUUUGUACCUUCACUUUCUUUAUAGUUCUAAAAACAUUAUGGGCGUUGCUUCUUCAAGCCCAAUUUUGUUGGCCCUAGAUGGGUUGCUACGUUCAAAAGGACUUAAGGUAAAGCAGAGCACUUUGCAGAUGUUUUUGAGAGAAGCUGCCGGGGCCGCGGCCGCGGUCUGGGCAUGAGGAUGGCGGUGGGCUCAGUCAAGAUGCAGCCGCCGUGCGAGAACCCGGCCCUGGCCGCGGCGGUGGCGGCGGCGGACAGCGCUCUGCGCCGCAGUCCCAGCACCUGCGAGCCGGAGCGCGAGCAGCCGCCGGCGUCGCUGCGGCCG
rnacentral:lncRNA from 1 species